CUCCCAAGGAGGGGACCGAAGUCAGUCAGAUGACCCUCUUCCGGGCUUAGAGAAGUUAGCUUUAUCACAGCUCCUAUAGCAACAUCUGCCCCAAUUUCAGCUUGAAGACCCAGGGACCCCAGGGACCCCAGGGACCGGAAGAAAUCACAUUGCCUGCUUGGAAAGACGAGGUAGCAGCUUGCCCCAGCCCAAACCCAGAGCGGCUCCGGAGUUGAGCUGCUCACACCCCAAGCUGUCUGUUUAUAUGGAGUGCCUGGAGGGCGUCUGCCAUGAGUCUGUUGCUAACACCACUAACCAGGAGAACUGGCUGGCUGGGGAGAAGACACUAACCCUCAGGUCACCGAGCCAACACCUUCCAGGAUGACCAGUGCUGCCCCUGCUAAGAAACCUUACCGGAAGGCACCUCCCGAGCAUCGAGAGCUGCGCCUGGAAACCCCUGUGUCCCGGCUUGAGCAACAGGUCAGCAGGGCUGGGGUCUGGCCCUGGCUGACAGAAGCAGGGGCAGAAGCAGGCCCUUGAAGGCAUCUGU
rnacentral:lncRNA from 1 species